AUCUCAAGCAUUGCUCUGGUGCUCAUUGCAAUUGUCACACUAGUGCCCGGAAUUUACAUCAAUUUAAUUGAAGCCAUCUUCUCCGGGAGUGUUCUUAUGUCCACAACAUUCUUUCUGGGCCUAAUUUUCAUUCCUAAGAUGGUGAGUUUGUACAGAGACCCUGAGGGUGAGCAUGUGUUUGGCAAUACUCUGAAUACCAACGAAAUGAACCUAAACCUUGUCAGUGCAUGGAGAAGUGACAACUCAAAUGAGGGAAAAAAUUGUCGAGUUAGAGAGUCUUCUAGAGAAGAGUCAGAAUGGCCGUACAUUGACAUGUUCAACUUGUCAUCCUGACGACCAGCCGAUUACCAUAGAUACUCAUAUCUCCAGUUCACCUGCAGAUAUAGGCUGCAGUUUCAUUGUCCUCAACUCUG